ACCAGCUUCGAGACAUGGACAAAAGCGGUAUAUUUUAGUCGCCACGAACUAUGUAAUCAAAUGGGCGGAGGCUAUUGCUACCCGUAAUAAUAAUACCAGUACGGUGGCCACUUUUCUAUACGAGAAUAUUAUUACGUAAUUUGGGUGUCUGAAGGAAUUGGUUAGCUAUGGCGGCACCCAUUUCAUAAAUGCUACCAUAGCAGCCU
rnacentral:lncRNA from 1 species